UCCCUCAGAGGAGGCCUGUGCUGACGCUGCUUCCUAAGUGUCUCGGAGGCCCCAGAAUGUGACCCCAUUAACCUCUAGGGGUGGAGACCCUCAGAGCCAGCCAAGGUGGAGGGGACAGGAAACACUGAUAUGCACACUAACGCUCUUCCCCCACGGGCCUCUCCCCUCAGAAGCAAGUGCUCAGGAAAGUCAAGACAGCAGAGCUGUUGCUGUCAUGAGGUACGCGGACAGCCGGCAGCUGCCCCCCCAGGGUGACACCGCAGACGAUUCUGAAGAAUUGAAGCCUGAAGGGACUCCAGGGUCUGGACAGGACUCUGCAGAGGCAGCUGGCAGAGAACGGUCUUCAGAUCAGACAGAGACACAUCCCUUUGUUAGUGACACUUUGCCCUCUGGCUUCUGUGCUCUAUUGUAACAGAGAGAAAGGGAACCCCUUGACUUAAUUUUUCCCUUAUCUCAGUUUUAUGGUAACAAAGUAAAGUAACUUCAUUUUUCAGCUCAAAACUUCUUCAGCUGCAUCUCUUCCUCACUGUCCCUUUGAGAAUAAAAGUCUACAAAUGAAACACAAUCCUGACAAGUUUGGAAAAUGUGCUUUUACAGUCUCAGUUCAAAGCCAGUCCCUAU